ensembl:lncRNA
AGAUGACUGAUGCAAUAAGCUCUUAAGUAUGCUCAUACAGAUCGAGGAAAUGCGUUAAUGGAAAAUCUUGAUUUUCUCGGAAAUCAGAUAACAUGAACAUUACUCCUGGCACGCCUUUGAAAUACCAAGCAAUGUGUAAUCAAUUCUCCUAUCCGGUUUCUAAAUGCCUCUAACAACAUUCCAGCCCUCAGCCUCAAUUUGCAUCACCUGGAUUGUCCAAAAGACAAUCUGGACUGGAUGUCACGAGCUGGCAGUGCCCAUGGCUGUCUGGCAGCAGCAAAAGCAAUUCCCCUUGGGAGAAAGAUGCUCUGGCUGAAGUCUUUCAAAGGUCAUUCACAAGCAGUUCUUCAAGAGAGAAGCAGCGUCACUGCAGCACAAACCGAUUGAUAUACUUCCUCUAAGGACGAGACACGUUCGAAAAUGUCUGCAGGGAACUGAAAGCUGCAAAAGUGAUCCAGCAGAUUUGAGAAAAAUGGAAUCUUUGAAAAUUACUAAUCAUAAUCAAGUUAUAUGGACAAAUUAGACAGAUUUGAUGGGGUUCAGCAAACAAUUCAUGAACAAGUAGGAGGAAUUUUCCAGAAGGACAGAUUAUCCAGAAGUGCAGCACAGAGGGACAAACAGGGAAAAUGGGAGAAAUGAAGAGAGGUUAAGAAAGCCAAAGGAAAGGAGAAGGGAGCCCCACAAGAGAAAGGAGCAACAGCAUCUCCUGAAGGGAGGGUGACAGAGAAAUCCUGCCAUGCGUGGCUUCAUGGGGACUGGUCAUUUCCAAGCAAGGUGAAUAAAAAAGCAUAUCUUAGUGAAAAGGCAGGAUAAUAGAGAGGAAGGUAAAAUAAAAAGGGUUAGAGAAAAAGAAAAUUACUUUCCAGAAGGAUCUUUAGAACAACUCCAAAUAUCUGGAAACAAACUAACACACUUCUAAGCAACCCAAGGGCCAAAGAAGAAAUCAAAAAGGGAAUUAGGAAGUAUCUCGAGCGGAAUGAAAAUCAAAGCACAAAUAUUAAAUUUUGUAGGAUGCAGCUGAAACAGAAUUAAAGGGAAAUGAAGAGCUCUCAAAUCAAUGAAUUGAUUUGCCAAUAAAUAACAAAGAGAUCUCCAAAUGUUUGGAAAUUAAACACUUGAAUCCUAGAAAGGAG